rnacentral:rRNA from 1 species
CAGUAGCCGCGGGAAUACGUAGGGUGCAAGCGUUAACCGGAAUUACUGGGCGUAAAGCGUGCGCAGGCGGUUUGUUAAGACAGAUGUGAAAUCCCCGGGCUCAACCUGGGAACUGCAUUUGUGACUGGCAAGCUAGAGUAUGGCAGAGGGGGGUGGAAUUCCACGUGUAGCAGUGAAAUGCGUAGAGAUGUGGAGGAACACCGAUGGCGAAGGCAGCCCCCUGGGCCAAUACUGACGCUCAUGCACGAAAGCGUGGGGAGCAAACAGGAUUAGAUACCCCGGUAGUCCCUGUCUCUUAUAU